rnacentral:rRNA from 1 species
GAUGAACGCUGGCGGCGUGCUUAACACAUGCAAGUCGAACGAUGAAGCCCAGCUUGCUGGGUGGAUUAGUGGCGAACGGGUGAGUAACACGUGAGUAACCUGCCCUUAACUCUGGGAUAAGCCUGGGAAACUGGGUCUAAUACCGGAUAGGAGCGCCUACCGCAUGGUGGGUGUUGGAAAGAUUUAUCGGUUUUGGAUGGACUCGCGGCCUAUCAGCUUGUUGGUGAGGUAAUGGCUCACCAAGGCGACGACGGGUAGCCGGCCUGAGAGGGUGACCGGCCACACUGGGACUGAGACACGGCGCAGACUCCUACGGGAGGCAGCAGUGGGGAAUAUUGCACAAUGGGCGAAAGCCUGAUGCAGCGACGCCGCGUGAGGGAUGACGGCCUUCGGGUUGUAAACCUCUUUCAGUAGGGAAGAAGCGAAAGUGACGGUACCUGCAGAAGAAGCACCGGCUAACUACGUG